UACGAAGGGGGCUAGCGUUGUUCGGAAUCACUGGGCGUAAAGCGCACGUAGGCGGCUUUCUAAGUCGGGGGUGAAAUCCUGGAGCUCAACUCCAGAACUGCCUUCGAUACUGGAGAGCUCGAGUCCGGGAGAGGUGAGUGGAACUGCGAGUGUAGAGGUGAAAUUCGUAGAUAUUCGCAAGAACACCAGUGGCGAAGGCGGCUCACUGGCCCGGGUGACUGAC
rnacentral:rRNA from 1 species